rnacentral:misc_RNA from 1 species
CAACCCAUGGCAUGGAGUAGAUGAAUGGGCACUCAAGGAAGAAGUAAACAAGCUUAUCAAUGUGACUCUUCAAGAACGAGAAAGGGAGAUUAUAAGACUUUACUAUGGUUUGGAUAAUGAAUCCCUUACAUGGGAGGACAUUAGUAAGCGGAUAGGUUUGUCCAGAGAGAGAAUUCGACAAGUCGGGCUUGUUGCACUAGAGAAAUUAAAACAUGCUGCAAGGAAGAAGAAGCUGGAGGCCAUGCUAGUGAAACAUUGAAUUGGUGCGUGCAUGUUUCAUUGAAACUCCAGAAUAUGACUGUAUAU